rnacentral:rRNA from 1 species
GACAGGGGGUGCAAACGUUGCUCGGAAUCACUGGGCGUAAAGGGCGUGUAGGCGGGAAGUAAAGUCAGAUGAGAAAUCCCUGGGCUCAACCCAGGAACUGCAUUUGAAACUCACUUUCUUGAGUACCGGAGAGGAAGGUGGAAUACCUGGUGUAGAGGUGAAAUUCGUAGAUAUCAGGUGGAACACCAGUGGCGAAGGCGGCCUUCUGGACGGUAACUGACGCUGAGACGCGAAAGCGUGGGGAGCAAACAGG